GGUUUACACUCUGGGUGGCAUUAAGGAACUUUUCAAGGAUUCCAUCCUACCAAGAACAGGAAGAAUAAACAGCAUUCCAUGGGCACUGCAAAUCCACCUGUCAGUCACCACCCAUUCUUCACCAGCAAGGACAAAAUGUAAAACUGUGUCAAACACAUACACACGUGUACGCACACACACAUACACACGACCCUCCUCAUUUCUGCUUCAUCUGGAGACCUACACAAGUUUUGUGCUUCCUUUUAUUAUUGGAGAUGAAAACAUGACCCAGCCUUGUUUAGGAGUCUCUGCAAUGCAAGGCCAACUGAUCUGAGUCGUGACCACUAUUUCUUCCCUCAGCUGGAAAUCCAAAAGUGAUUGGUACACUCUAAGAGUACAGUUCUAAAGACACAGGCACCUCUGUCUUUUCAGAGAAACGUUGUAUUUUUAAUCAAGUAAACGUUUUAAUUACUAA
rnacentral:antisense_RNA from 1 species